AUGUUCACAUUAUUAUCAUAAAUAUAUAUUAUCUAGACUUUUUCUAUCCAACAUAUUCAGUUUUUGCUACAUAUGAACCAAAUUAUAUUUGUUAUUCAAGUAAUAGUUUUUUUAAAAUAGUCACCUCGAAAGGAUUUCUAAGGCCAACUCAACCAUAAAUGUACAUAAUUAAAAAAACCAUAAUCCAGGGAUCGGAACAUAGUAUUUGAAACAACACUCUAUUUUGAAUAUUUCUCACAAUUAAUUCAUGUUUAUUCAUUGAGUUAUCCUAAACUUUAAUAUGUUACUAGACAUAUAAGAGUUAUUUUUACUACAUAUCCAUUACUAUUGUGGUGGUAGUUUUUCAUUGUCAGUUUCAUAAUAAUCGCGGCAACCGCGCCAUAAUAGUGUGAAACGUUAAUGGCAGUUUCUUCUCAAGCAUUCACCACCAACUAUAUAUCCCAUUUCUUUCCCUACUUUGCUGCUUAAUAGCCUAAGGCGACUCUUAGCAUUGAUCAGGUUUCUGACGAGCCAUCCUUAUUCCUCAACCCUAUUUUCAUUGUUCCUAGCAUCAUCAUCAUCUCUAUAGCCUUCCUUUCCUUGGGAAGAAUCCACUCCAAUAUUCACCGUUAAUGAGCUACCUACCCACAUCAUCUCCAUGCGCUGGUAACCCUUGUUUCCAUUUACAGCUCUCCACGCCCCUAUUUCUUGUUCGGACUACGUGCAGUAGCAUUCAUUUCUUGAGUUCUUGUGGUAGCACGCAUUAUUAUGUUUUGUCGAUUUAGAUCUAGAAAGUUUCUUCCGCUAAUAAAAUGUUGUCCUAAUUUCGUCCAUUUGAUCUUCAUUUGAGUUGAAAGGAGAAAAAAAUUGAAUCAUAGCAGUGUUUUCAUUUGAUUUCUUUCUAUAACUCAGGUCUAAUGUCAAACAAUUGUUUUGGCUAGGGUUCCAGGAUUACUAGAUGAGGAAUAAGCUUGAUUAGGUGCCACUCCCCUCCCACUAAUCCCCCCC
rnacentral:lncRNA from 1 species